UAAACCAGUGAUGAAUUGCAUGGGGUUUCUGAAUCGAAGGCUCUGAUUAAACUCAUCUGCAACUCUGAGGUCCAU
rnacentral:snoRNA from 1 species